GGGCCCUCUCUUUUUGAAUAUUCGCCCUCUCCAAAUGAACCUGAAGUCCUUCUAAAUUAGCCCUCAGGGCCUCAUACUGGCGCUCGACCUCCUCCUUCUGGCUUAUAGCCUCAUCCCUCUCAUGAAGGGUCUCCACCAUGGAGGACAGCUGCCUCAAAACUUCUUCACUUCGAACCUCUACCGCAGCCGCCCUCUCAUCAGACUCCUUGAGAACCCUGCGAGUAUG
rnacentral:lncRNA from 1 species